GUGCUCACUUCCGCAGCACAUGUAUUAAAAAAUCGGAACAAUACGGGCCCUGCGCAAAGAUGACAUGCAAAUUCAUGAAGUGUUGCAUAUUUUU
ensembl:snRNA U6 U6 spliceosomal RNA